GGUUCGAUCAUGGCUCAGAUUGAACGCUGGCGGGAUGCUACACAUGCAAAGUCCGGGCAGCAACUGGAGCUUCAGUCUGGUGGCGAGAGUGGCGAACAGGUGAGUAAUGUGUGGAACGUGCCUAGUAGCGGGGAUAACCGCAGCAUGGCUAUUAAUACACAUACGCCCUUCGGGGAAAGCAGGGACCUUCGGACUCGCACUAUUAAACGGCCGAUAUCGGAUUAGCUAGUUGGUGGGGUAACGGCUCACCAAGGCGACGAUCCGUAGCUGGUUUGAGAGGACGACCAGCCACACUGGGACUGAGACGUGACCUACGGGAGGCAGCAGUGGGGAAUUUUUGAACAAUGAGCGAAUCCAGCCAUCCCGCGUGUGCGAUGAAGACGCUGAGUUGUAAAGCACUUUUGGCAGGAAAGAAACGGCACGGGAUAAUCCCGUGCAACUGACAAUGCACAGAAUAAGCACCGGCUAACUACGUACCAGCAGCCGCGGUAAUACGUAAGUGCAAGCGUUAAUCGGAAUUACGGGCGUAAAGCGUGCGCAGGCGGUUCGGAAAGAAAGAUGUGAAAUCCCAGAGCUUAACUUUGGAACUGCAUUUUAACUACCGAGCUAGAGUGUCCAGAGGGGUAGAAUUCCGCGUGUAGCAGUGAAACCGUAGAUGUAAGGAAGAUUACCGAUGGCGAAGGCAACCUCCUGGGGAUAACACUGACGCUCGUACACGACGUGGGGGAGCAACAGAGAUUAAGAAUGCCCUGGUGAUCACGCCCUAAACGUGUCAACUAGCUGUUGGGCCUUCGGGCCUUAGUGACGCAACUAACGCUGAAGUUGACCGCCUGGGAAGUACGGUCGCAAGAUUAAAACUCAAAGGAAUUGACACAGGGACCGCACAAGCGGUGGAUGAUGUGGAUUAAUUCGAUGCAACGCGAAAAACCUUACCUACCGCUUGACAUGUCUGGAAUCGAAGAGAUUUGGGAGUGCUCUUGAGGAGCAGACACCAGGUGCUGCAUGGCUGUCGUCAGCUCCGUGUCGUGGAAUGUUGGGUUAGUCCCGCAACGAGCGCAGCCCUUGUCAUUAGUUGCUACGAAGGGCACUCGUAGGACUGCCGGUGACAAACCGGAGGAAGGUGGGAUGACGUCAAGGUCCUCGCUGGCCUCCUGGAUGGGCUCCCGUCGCCCGUGGUCGGGACAGAGGGUCGCCAACCCGCGAGGGGGAGCCAAUCCCAGUCCCGAUCGUAGUCCGGAUCAUGAUGCAACUCGACUGCGUGAAGUCAGAAUCGCUAGUAAUAGCGGAUCAGCAUGUCGCGGUGGAAUACCGUUCCCGGGUCUUGUACACACCGCCCGUCACCUGCAGGGUGGGUUUGCCAGAAGUAGUUAGCCUAACCGUAAGGAGGGCGAUUACCACAGUAGGAUUCAUGACUGGGGUGAAGUCGUAACAAGGUAACUCUGUUACUACC
rnacentral:rRNA from 1 species